rnacentral:rRNA from 1 species
UCACCCCUACGGGACGCAGCAGUGGGGAAUAUUGCACAAUGGGGGAAACCCUGAUGCAGCGACGCCGCGUGAGCGAAGAAGUAUUUCGGUAUGUAAAGCUCUAUCAGCAGGGAAGAAAAAUGACGGUACCUGAGUAAGAAGCACCGGCUAAAUACGUGCCAGCAGCCGCGGUAAUACGUAUGGUGCAAGCGUUAUCCGGAUUUACUGGGUGUAAAGGGAGCGCAGGCGGUGCGGCAAGUCUGAUGUGAAAGCCCGGGGCUCAACCCCUGGACUGCAUUUGAAACUACC